ensembl:snRNA U6 U6 spliceosomal RNA
GUGCUCGCCUCGGCAGCACAUAUACUAAAAUUGGAAUGAUACGGAGAAGUUAGCAUGGCGCCUGCGAAAGGAUAACACGCAAAUUCGUGAAGCAUUCCAUAUUUUU